GACGAACGCUGGCGGCGUGCUUAACACAUGCAAGUCGAACGGUGAAGCGCCUUCCUUUUUGGUGGGUGUGGAUGAGUGGCGAACGGGUGAGUAACACGUGAGUAACCUGCCCCCUUCUUCUGGAUAACCGCAUGAAAGUGUGGCUAAUACGGGAUAUUCUGGGUCUGUCGCAUGAUGGGUCUGGGAAAGAUAUUGUUUCGGUGGGGGAUGGGCUCGCGGCCUAUCAGCUUGUUGGUGGGGUGAUGGCCUACCAAGGCGGUGACGGGUAGCCGGCCUGAGAGGGUGGACGGUCACACUGGGACUGAGACACGGCCCAGACUCCUACGGGAGGCAGCAGUGGGGAAUAUUGCACAAUGAGCGCAAGCCUGAUGCAGCGACGCCGCGUGAGGGAUGGAGGCCUUCGGGUUGUGAACCUCUUUCGCCAGUGAAGCAGGCCUGCCUCGUUUGUGGGUGGGUUGACGGUAGCUGGAUAAGAAGCGCCGGCUAACUACGUG
rnacentral:rRNA from 1 species